UCCUAGGCAACAAGAUUCCACAUACAGUUGCAGCUAAGGAAAAAAUUCUUCCUGAACUGACUACCCAUCUACUAAAUAAGAUAGCUACAUGUUAGAGAUUGAAACCAAAUUUUCAAUCUCCCUGUCUCUACUUCCCAAUUGCUGGGAUUACAAGAGCGUAGCACCAUGCCUGGCUUCUAAUACCCUGCAUUAGUGAAGGGAAUGAAGACUCUCUACCAUAACCUCCUCGUAUUCUUGGUCCUCCUGAUUGUCAUCUUCGUUCUCAUCGUCUUCCUCAUCCGGUUCAGGCAAGUCCUCGUCAUCAUCUAGCUCAGCUAAGAGAGUACUGGCACGACAGCUAUCAAGAAAGUCUAGGAAGGAAAAAGCCAACCACUUUAUUGUUAAUGCAAUUAGUGAAGAACAGCAAGGAGUCUGCGUCAGGGUUAUAUUAAACCAAAGGUAAACUCAGAAGGCUCAAGCAUGAAUGCCAGUUAAUGAUGCCACUUAUUUAUCCUAAUAAUUCUCAUAACAUAAUAACAAGUGAGACUAAUCACAAGCAUGGCAGAAAAAAAAAUAGAUGAUCUCAAAGUAUACUUCAAUCAACAAAAUCUAUGAUAGGGCAACCAUGUGAUGAUGCUUAAAACAAGACAAUCCCACCAUCAUCCUCUGAGUAUUAUACGAAGUACAAUUUGGAGUCAUUUUAUUUUACCGACAGAUACCUACUGAGUAUACGCUAAUGACUAGAACUGUUCCAGCACAUAGAUACCAUUGGAAACAAAGCUAGAAUAUCCAAGCUCUAAGAAACUUACAGAAGACAGAGGGUUCAAUAAACAGACAAACAUAUCUAUAAACACUAGCCUUUAUACAAGACCUUAUGAAGAUAUAUAGAAUUAAGGCCAAUCAAAAAAAAUAAAGCUUAGAUAUGGCAAGUUAUUUAGUGAUAAUGACUACUAGAGAACAACAUGUGUUUGUUAUAGGAUAAGUAUAUGUUAUCUUUCACGUUAUCCAUGUAAUUCAAUGCACAACCAAGUUUAAUCCUGAAUCCCCUUUAUCUUCUUCCUUAGGACUAACUUCCCCAAUGAAGAAUGGGCCAUGCUACCCAGUAAUGAUGCAUGCCUAUAAUGCAAGCAUUCAGUAGGCUGAAGCAGAAUUAUGACUUCAAAGCCAGCCUGAACUACACAAUAAGGUUCUCUUUAGGAAUAAAUAAACAAAUAGAUAGAUAGAUAGAUAGAUAGAUAGAUAGAUAGAUAGAUAGAUAGAUGGAUGGAUGGAUGGAUGGAUGGAUGGAUGGAUGGGCGGGCGGGCUGGAGAGAUGGCUCAGCAGUUAAGAGUAACGACUGCUCUCCAAGAGGUACUGAGUUCAAUUCC